AAUAUCUUUCUAGAGGAGGAAGCAGGUUGGAGGAGGAGGAAAAGUAUAGUCAUUCAGUAUUUGUAUUCCACCGUAGGAAUCCCGGAAGAAAAGGUGGAAGCUCCAAUAAAAGGUCCAGGGGUUGUUUGGACAGCAUGGGCUUUCUUACAUGUACUCUAUGUGUUGUGUGUAGUUCUACAAACACCUUCACAUAUACACGUCUCAUUAACAUCUUAAAUCUCUAAGAAAAGUUGAGCACGUUGGGAACACAGUGGGUCUUGGGUCAUACAGUCUGGAGUGCCUCCGUUCAGCAGUUGCAGGGGGUUUUCAGUUCUCCUCCUUGCCCUCUCGUUUCCCUCAUGUGCUGAUGUUGCAACCAUUGUGUAAGUUCUUCCCUGGCUCACCAUCAGGCCUGUUCUCCUUCCUGAUCACUACCCUGUUUCCACAGUGCAGAAGAUGCCCCUGUGGACGGAAUACUCAAGUGCGUUCCAGAGAGACUUCGUGUUGAUGUAAAGCAGCAGUGACUUAGAAAGGCUGAGAACGCAGACCCUGACGACCUGGAGAGGCUGUGCUUAGCAUGGGAAUCACAGAGAGAUUUAUCUUAAAGGUGUCCAGGAGGCCAGAAAACUACAUUGGAUCUCUCAAAGCUGGGUUUCCAGGCACUUGUGAGCUGCCUGAUGUAAGUGCUGGGAACUGAACUCAGGUCCUCUGCUAGAGCAGCCCUCCGCUUGCUCACAGAUGCUGGGGCCUCUCUCCAGUCCCCUCCUGUUCCUCCAUCUGAGGCAGAAGCACAUAACAAUGGCAACUAGAGAGCGAGUGAACAGAACAUGAGAGCACAGGCACUAAGAACAGCAAUCAAUAAAUGGGACCCAGGAAACUGAAAACCUUCUGCAAAGCAAAGGACACCGUCAAUAGGACAAAACAGAGGCCCAAGAAUGGGAAAAGGUGUUCACCAACUCCACAGCUGACAGAGGGCUAGUAUGAGAAAUAUAUAAAUAACUCAAGGAUCUAGACAUCAGCAAACUAAAUAAUCCAGAGGUACCGGUUUAAACUGAGAGUUUUCGUCAGGGAAAUGCAAAUCAAAAAUGACUUGAGAUUCCGUCUUAUAUCAGUGCUAUGGCUAAGACCUAAAACACAAGGGACAGCUCUUGCUGGCGAGGACAUGGAGCAAGAACACUCCUCCAUUGCUGGCGGGAGUACAAAUGUGUACAUCUCCUUCAGAUAUCAAUAUGGCGGCUCCUCAGAAGAUUGGAAAUGGAGUUGCCUCAAGACCUAGCUAUACCACUCCAGGGCAUAUACCCAAAAGAUGUUUCAUCCUUUCGCAGGGACACUUGCUCAACUCUGUUCAUAGCAGCUUUAUUCAUAAUAGCCAGAAAUAACCUAGAUGGCCCUUAACCAAAAAAAAAAAAUAGAUAAGGAAAAUGUGGUACAUUUACACAAUGGAGUGUUACUCGGCUGUUAAAAACAAUGACAACACGAAAUUUUCAAGCAAGAUGGAUGGAACUAGAAAACAAUCAUGCCAAGUGAAGCAACACAGACCGAGAAAGACACACAUGAUAUGUCCUCACUUCUGAGUGAAUAUUAGCCGUCAUCAGUCCAGGGGCCUAGAGAAGCUAAGUAACAAGGAGGGCUUAAAGGGGGUGCAAAGAUCUCCCUAGGAAGGGGAAAUAGAAUAGAUUUUCUGGAUGAACUAGGGGCAGAUGGGGAUGGGAAUAGGAGAGGAGGGUGCGGGGAGAGAAGGAGAAAACACUGGGAGAAAGUACUGGAGUUGGGGGACAUAUGGGGGUGAGGUAGAAACCUAGUGAGUGCAGUGGAAACUCCAUGAAACCUUACAAGAAUAACCUUAGCAAGGACUCCUAGUAAUGGGGGACAUGGAGCUUGAACUGGGCACCUGGCCAUCUUCUGUAACCAGGCAAAGCCACAAGUAGAAGGAUUGGGACACCAAUCUAGCUGCAAAACCUUCCACCUACAGUUUGUCCUGCCUGCAGAGUGUGCUGGCAUAGGAGUCUAGCAGAACUGUCAUUAAAGAGACCACAACUGAUGGUAACAGACGCAGAGCCCCCCAGCCAAACAUUAGGUGGAUCUCAGGGAGUCCUGCAGAGAGAGGUCGGAAGGAUCAAAGGAACUAGAGGGAUCAGAAACACACCAUGAGAACAGAGUGAACUGACCAGGACUGUGGGGACUCACAGAGAUCAGGGAGCCAGUAGGAGUCUGAUCUAGGUCCUCUGCAAAUAUGUUAUGGGUGAGUAGCUUGAUGUUCUUGUGGGAAUUUUAACAGUGGGAGCAGGGGCUGUCCCUGACUCCUUUGCCUACCUGUGGGGCCCUUUCUUCUUACUGGGUUGCCUUGUCCAGCCUUGAUGUGAUGCUAUGUGCCUGGUCUUAUUGUAACUUGUUUGGUUGAUGUCUCUGAGAGACCUGCUCUUUUCUGAGGGGAGACACAGCAGAGAUGGAUCUGGGGAAAAGGAAAGGUGGUGGGAGAGACUGGGAGGGGAGAGGAAAGAUAAAAUUUGAUUUGGAUGUAAUAUCUGAGAGAAGAAUAAAGAAGAAAAAAGAAAAAAGAAAAGGUGGCGUUACUAGCUUUUCGAGGUGGAAGUAUUUUUGAUUAUGGCAUGACCAAUUCCUGCUUACCCUCUCUAGCCUUGGGAGAAUGAUUGAGGCCAGGACAAGAAGGUGUAUUAACACUGUUGUGGUUGGCCAAGGCUCAAAGAAACACCUGGCUGAGCUCAGUGUGGGCCACUACCUAGAGCUGUGCAUUCAGGAACCAGGCAUCCCCCAGUGAGUUUCCUGCUGAGAACCUGGCUUGGGGAAGGUAAUGGGGAACUCCAUUUGGAGUUGUGGCCUGGGAUCACUAAAUGGCAAGUGCUUGAAAAAUUUCAGAUGUCAAACUGAAAAAUUACAAGCCAGUCAAUAAAAGAAUUAGUUGGCUCAUCAGAAAAAUGAAUAAAACACCAUAGCUAAACCCACAAGAGAAGAAACGUAUAAGAUGCCUGGUUUUUGAGAAACACAAAUAGAAAGAAAAAUUUUUUUCUCUACCAGGCGAUCAAGAUUAAAAGACACUCAAAGCCCAGUGUUGGUAAGUGUUGGCAGAGAGCCUGUUUGUGACCAGACUCUAGCUGGGUUCUCUGCGCCCUUUUCUCAACUUGGUUUCAGCCUCUAAAUCACAGGCUUGGCAGCACAGAUGAGACUUAAACAUCAACCUAGCUUCUAGAAGCUCAAGGCUAUGUCCUCAGGAUGACCUCAUCUGUCAGUCUGGCUGCUUGGGAAGCUCAGCCCUGGAAAAGAACUCUGUUAUUUAGGCUAGCACAGGCCCCUGACCAACAACUCAAACUAUACUGAUUAAUAAGGGCUCAGAGCUGUGAACCUGCUCCCAUCCAUAUAGCUUGAGAUACUCUUUUUUGUGUUUCUAGGAAAUCAUCUGAAAGAUUUCAGCACUGGGAAAGAUGUUCAGAACACAAGAUGUCCAUACUGUCUUUCUAUAGGUGGGUGAUGGAUAGGAAUAUAAGUGUGUGUUUCCAAGAACUCCAUCUAGAAAGGUUUUUUUUUUUCUAAGCUGAAAGGUAGACUGCAUGACGUUUACCCUCAUUUUUGGCAUCCUGUUAUUGUGUAUUUUGUUGUAGUAAGCAUGCGUCUUUCCUCUAAGAAGAAAAGAAUACAAGGAUGUUUUAUUUUUAUGCUGAGAAAAUGGAUUGUAACCAGAGACACUCAGCUGGGAAUGGGGCCCUGGGCUUGGUUGUGGCUUCAAUGGUCUUGCUACCCAGCUCUGACAAAGUACCAAUACUAUUAAAAUGUGUUCAUUAUGUUUAUAAGAAAAUUCUGAAUAGCCAGUGAAGAUUUUAUUACUUAAAAUUAUACAUGUAUUUAUUUUUUACUUAUUUGUUCAUUCAGACUGUGUGUGUGUGUGUGUGUGUGUGUGUGUGUGUGUGUGUGUCGGGGGUGUGGUCAGAAGAUAACUUGGAGCAAUUGGUUCUCUCCUUCUAUGAUAUGGGUCCCCGGGAUCAAAUGCAGAUGUCCAGGCUUGGUGGACUUUACCAACCGAGCCAUCUCAACAGUCCCAGUAUAUUUUUUGAAAAUCACUUUUAUGCUAAGAAGCUAAUUUUGAACAUCAAACGUUCAAGUACCUCUUAUAAUUGAAGCCAUGGCAGAAUUCUUUCUCCAUUAAGUUUUACUAGCUGUAAAGCUAUUAAUGAAUCUAGGAAAUUAUGUUGUUCCAGUGUAAGGAGGUCCGGUGUUCUUGCUGGGGCCACUGGGCAGGAAGUAACCCUUUCCAGGGACCUUCCAAGCAGAUGAACUCCAGAGUCUGAACUUUGUGGGUUUGCCUUAACCAUCAUAGGAGACAACACUUCAGAAUAAAGCUAUCCACAGAAAUGAGUCAAACUAACAGCAGGGCGAAGCCAAGUUUUGGUCCUGGGCUUUUAUUGGAACGAGAAGUUUGAUUUGACGUAAUUUAAAUUUUGGUUGAGUUUCUGCUACUUACUUCCCCAAGGUUAUUAACUAAAUACAUGACCUUGGAAAUUUUCCAUGAUUCCUUAGCUUAUGACACUAAGGACACACCUCCUGUCCAUGACCCCUCUGACCCUGGGCUUGAUCCCUCACUAGAGAGCAGGGGGAUGGGUAUUAUGUUGUAUAUAAUAUGUGCUAAAGACCAGGCUGUUGAAAGCAUUUGUUUACAGAGAGUGCCUGCGACAGCAGUGCUCACUUUAUUUGUCUGGGGCAUCUGUAUCAGUCAUGUUUUUAGGGUUCUUAGGUGAAGAUAUGGUCUUGUCUGUGUACCAAAGGACUAACCGGCUGGGACAAUAUCUGUGGGAUGGAGUUAGGAAUGAAAAAUAUGAACUCAUGAAAAACGUGAACUUGUGGGUUUCAAUACUUGUAGAUGUUGACAUAUAGACUUGCGUGUGUGUGUGUGUGUGUGUGUGUAUGUGUGUGUGUGUGUGUGUGUGUGUGUGUGUGUGUGUGUUUUCUCUAGCUCUGUGUACUAAUAGUCCUGGGCGCAGUGAUUUUCUGCUUAAUGGAGAACACACUCAACUAGAGCUCUGGAAAAACUUCUGGAAAUUACCAGACUGGGUGGUAGAUAAUAGCAGUCACAUUUGGAAUAUCUUGUGCCACAGCAGAGAAAUGUUCCAAGACUGAUGAGGACUUAUCACAUGUGCACAUAGAAGCCAGAUUACAGGGAACAAUUUGAGAACCAAAAUAAAUAGUCCUACUAACAGAGAGCCUGUUGGAUAAAGUAUGAUUUUACAAGUACAUACACAAUACAACCACAUGUAAAUUAAAAGGUUGAUGAGCAACCGGGCUACCUAUGCAUAUUCAGGUCCUCAUAACAACAAAGUUCUCAUUAAUUAUAAGGGACAGAAAAAGAUUUUUUUUCCAGUAGGAAACCCUCAUCAACAUUGCCAUAAUUAAGUACUCGAAGUGAGCAUCUGUAGGGAGCAGUUGGAAAAUCGUAAGUCAGUUCUGACAUACUAUUGCCAAAGACGAGUAACCUGAAUUGCACAGCCACAGCCACUCUGAGGGACACCAAAUGGAACAAUUGUAAUGUUCACAAGUGUCAGGGCUGCAGAAGUCACGGGAAGGCAGAGAAUAACGCCAGAUUGAAGGAGGCGAAAGAGGCACAAUGACUAUAUAAAUGUGGUCCGGGUUACAUCUUUUUCUAUAAAGGACACUUAUUGAGACAAUGGGUGAAACUUGCACUACACAGGGACUGGACAGCAUCAUGUUGCGAUGAUUUCUUUGCAGGCAGAAUACAGCAGAGAUUGGCUGACAGCAAGGAACUCUGUAGACAACACACUCAUAAAUGUCUUCUUCCCUUUUUUCUCCACCACUCCCUUCUUCCUCUUUAUCCUCUACUCCAGGGCAUGGAAGCUCUGAAAUGUCACGUGCCCUGAGUUGUAGCUCCGUCCCUGUUCUUGCAAUGUUUGGGAUUCUCACUGAACAAAAAUAAAAAUGAAGGGGCUAGAGAGAUGGCUUAGCAGUUCAGAGCACUUGUUACUUUUCCAGAGGACUGGCGUUUGGUUCAAGCAUCCAUAUUAGGCGGCUGACAACUGCCGGAGGCUCUAGCUUCUGAGGAUCUGACACCUCUGGCUUCCUUAGGCAUGCGGACUCAUACCAACAUGCAGACAGUCGCCUACACAUAAUUAAAAUAUAAAAAUAAAUCUUAAACAAAUCUACAAACAAACAAAAUUCUAAAACCAAGAAGCAAACAGGUCAGAAACAAGAGUUUGGAAGGCAUAUGGCAGGGGCUGGGGUAGUAUGGCUGACUUAACUAGCUUCCUAUUGCUGUGAUAAAACACCAUGAUCCAAAGAAAGGUGGGAGAAGAGGGUUUAUUUUAUUUUCACUUCCACAUCACAGUUCAUCCCUGAAGGAAGUGAGACGGAAACUCAAGGCAGGAACCUGGAGACAGGAAUGGCGCAGGAGCAGCCAUGGGGGAGUGCUGCUUAUUGGCUUGCUCAUCAUGGUUUGCUCAGCCUGAUUUCGUAUACACCCAGGAUCACCAGCCCCGGGGUGGCACCACCCAGAGUGAGCAAUGCCAGUUAUGAAAAUGUACCACAGACUUGACCACAAGCCAAUCUGGUGGGGCAUUUCCCUUCCCCCUUCUCAAAUGACUAUAGCAUAUGUCAAGUUGAUAUAAGACUCACCACUAAAAUGGCUAUCGGGGUUAAAGAAACUUGCUUGUUGUUUGAUGGGGCUAGUAUUGGGCUUGGAGAUGUAUACUCUAUCACAGAAAGGCUAGGACAGUGGGGAGCUGAAGGAAAGAUUAUUUUUUAAUGCUUUAUCUGUUUUAAGCCCUAGCUGGGGCAUUUAAUUCCAAUUUAACCAUUAUAUAAAUGUUAAGGAUGAAACUUUAAUCCGCAUUGUAAAAAAUGGACAAAAUGAGGUGACUUGUUCAAAGCAAUACAAGCUAUCAAGUGGAACCAACAUUUAAAUGCCAGGAUGUGUGAUCUGAAAGACGGCGAGACAGCAGAGAAAUGGUACCAUCAAGGUACUAAAGACAGCUUAACCUUUGCCCUCAGACACUGAGAGGGAAAAUGACUGUUUGCUGUUAAGAUUGAGACCAGGGUGUGAAUAAUCUGAAGAAAUGUGCUUGUUGUGUUUCUGGGGAAAUAGAAGAAAGAGUAACAGAAAAAGAUGGAGAAACACCUUCACUAACAAGUGAGAGGGAGCAGGAGUCCAAGGAAUUUGCAGAGGGCUGAGGGUAUGACUAUCUGACUUUUCAGGUGGCUUUAACAAUCCCCUCUUCUGGGUUUGUGUAUCUUGUGUGACACUCUCCCAUUGAGUGGGUUGAGUUUAUGGUCUUGCUUGUGAUAAGGUAAUAGAACAACUUAGAAAAUAUCACUUUCGUAAUGGAUGUCAUUACCAAUGAAGAUGAGGAGAAGGAAGAGGAGGAGGAGGAGGAGGAAAGGGAGAAAGAAGGAAGGAAGAAGGAAGGAAGACAGGCAGGCAGACAGAUGGACAGAAGAAAGAAAGGAAAGAAAGAAAGAAAGAAAGAAAGAAAGAAAGAAAGAAAGAAGAGAAAGAAAUGAGAAAGAAAGGAAAGCACGUCAAUACUUGUGGCACUUCCAUGGUCAUUUGUGGUGUGUACAGAGUAGAGGCAAAUUUGCAUUGCCCAAGAUAGGAACUCCAGCUGAGGGUGAACAGAGGGUCAUGUCUUUGUUUCAGCUUGCAUACUAUAAAGAAGUGUCUUCUCCUAUGUUUUUCCUUCUGUCCUUUUUGUUGAUUUCACUCUUUAAGAUGACUCCCAAGUGUAAUGAUGAAAUACUGCCUAAUACUUUUAAAUUCACGAGGGCUAUUAUAAUGUGUCAUCUUUUGCUAUUGUGUUAUUGUGAUGCUAGGAAUCAGAUCUGGGGUCUUGAGUGUGCCAAGCAUAAGCCCUCCAGGGCUACAACUCCAGCCCUGUGACUGACUUGACUUGUGGAGAGAUUACAUGUGCAGAGGACCUUUGCUCUGGCGUGGGAAAUAUUCAAGCUGUUGGCUACGAGCUCAGUAAAAACAUAUUAAAUAGGUGCUUUUAAACACACACAUACACACACACACACACACACACACACACACACACACACACACCCCUGUAUGUUGGUCAGUGGCUGAAAGUGCUACAAUCAGAGGCUCCUCUCAACCCAGCCCUGUGCCUUUUCAGAGAGCCAACAACAACUUGGCAAAGGCAAUCGUGAACAUGACAGACAACUGGAAAAUUCAUCUCAUCAACUUAAGAGGGAAGAGUUUUAAAAGGAAAUCAAGGCCGAAAUGUCCAGGGCUGUAUGUUCCUCUCUAGGGAUGAGACUGAAGAAACAGGGGAGAGCAGUUAUUUCUGUCAAAACAGUUAUAUACUUAAAAAAAGAAUUAUGGUUAAAAAUGUUAUUUUAGGGGCUGGAAGAAUGGCUCAGCCCUAAGAACUCUUACUGCUCUUGCAAAAAACCUAAGUUUGAUUUCCAGCACCCGUGUAAGUUGGCUCACGGCUGCCUGUAACUCCAGCUCCAGGGAGUUCAGUACCUUCUUUGGCAUCCUGAGGCACUGCAUGACAUGGUGCACACAGAGGCCGGCAGGCAGGUAGGCAGACAGACAAACAGACACACAGGAGAACAAAUGCAUGCAUACACAUACGGAAAAGGAUCUUUAAAGGAAGUUUUUAUGGAGUAAAUGUGAAAUGAAACAUGUAGGCAAAUCAGCUCUGUAAAGCGAGUCCCACUCUGUAAUGCCCAACGCUGUGUGAGGUUCAACGCUUUGAAGGUCAUCAGCUGAACUAAAGACUUUCUUGCCCGUCUAGAAUGAUGAAAUUGGGGCGGCUCCUGGCAAGGCUUCUGCACACCGACUCAGCCAACACAGGGAAAUGGCAGAGGAGACCAUACAAAGCCAAGCAGCCCUUUGGAGACACAGUCUGCAUAGGCACAGCUUUUCCAUGACCUCCCCCUGAAAGACACAGCAUUGAUGGCUGAAAGCCUAAGUUGUCCUUCUUUCUAAAUUUUAAACUUAAUUCCAUAAGACUCCUUUUUAUUCGAAUUAUUAAUUAGGCUCUCCGUUUUACCCCUCACCACUCCUAAGAGUGUGCUUGAAAACACAUGGGUUUGCAUAAUGCCUGCCUUUGUUUAGCAUGUGGGUUUGGGAAAAAUUUAUUUCCUUUCCAUCUCUGCCCUGUGACUUAAGUGUUCCUCUGAAUGUGUAGCUUGUUGCCCCUCACAGCUGUGCCAUGCUGAACAGUGUACACCCACCUCAUUCUACCCAGUUCACCCCAUCCCUCCAUUCCCACCACCUUAGGCUACAGGAUGGAAAUGCUCCUAAAUGUCCACAAUGUCACAGUCUGGCAGUCUUUUGUCUGUGACGAGCUCAGCCUUGUCUUUGCUUUUUCCAUUCCUUGAUCCUGACAGACACCAGAACUCACCCUUCGGUCUUGAGAACACUAACAUGCUCACGUUUUAUUAGUGUAUUUGUUUAUUCAGAGUGCUGUGACUUCCUGUGGAAGACUAUGUGCUAGGACUCUGUGAUGCUGGGGAAUGGAACCUAGGGCUUUGUCCAUGCUAGGUAAGCACUCAACCAGCUCAGCUACUAUUUAUUUAAUUUAAAAAAAAAAGGUAUAGUUAUGGUUUCCAACUCUGGUUUUGCCUAAAGGCUAUGAAAGUUCAAAAAGACUCUAGAAAACAAAAAGGGAAACAAUGACAACUGAGGUUGAAAUGGCACCACCCGCUGUGUGUGUGUGUGUGUGUGUGUGUGUGUGUGUGCAUUCAUGUAUGUGCGUGCACAUAUGAAAGCAUGUGUGUGCAUGAACACAUGUAUGUGCAUGUGUAUGUAUGUGUGUAUGUAUGUGCAUGUGUUUGUAGGUAUAUGUGUGUGCACGUGUGUAUAUGUAUCCAUGCCCGUGUGGGCACAUACACAUGCAUGUGUGUGAUUUGCUGGGGAUCAGACACGGAACCUUGCUCAUUCCAAGUGUGUGUUUCUCCACUGAACUCUACCCCAGCCCUUAGUAUGCUUUACUUUAAAAAUAAACGUCAUGAAAAUGCAAUAGAAAGUGUCACGAAGAGAUACUUCCAAAGAGUAAAUGGUCCAUUUUAAAAGUACAGUGCAAAAGCCUCCAAGACAUAACAGGUAAAACUAGGCAGAAAACAAUAGGGUUAAAUGGCUGGGAAAGUCAAAAUGCAUAAGGCUUUUUGCCCGUGACAAAUGCCCAGCAUAUUCUGUUCCUGCUCAGGGAAGCCACAGAGAGUUUCACUGAGUUGAAAAAGGAAACCACAGUGUGUGGAAUCUAUUUUUAUUUUUUGAGUUACACAGUAGGGGUGUAGAGAUACAUUGUGUUCUUACAUAUUUUCAUAAUUUUAAUCCAUACUAUCCAGAUAGAAUUUAUUUCUUUACCAAAACAAGUCUAAUAUAUACUUUAUUCUGAGCAAUCCAAUACACGUAGAAAACUCUUUAGAUAUAGAAAAGAUUAAUGUGUGCACACCUAGAUAUUCCUAAAAGUAGCAGACCACUGGGGCAUAUGGAUAAGACAAGAAUUGUGCAGAACCAUAAAGGAACUCUUAAAAUGACAUCCUAAGUAUGUGAGCUAGGGAGGGUGGCUUCCUUGCUUAUCGGUAUGCCCUAGGGAGGAACCAUAUAUAACACUGUAUGGCUUCAGUAGGAACUUUGGGGUCUCCCUCCACCCCUAGUUAUUUUCACUCUUCAACCACUCCCACCCUGAUGACUCCUUGGUGUUCCCUUAACUACAAAUCUACAGGAAAAGGUGCAAAGCAGGUCCUGGCAGUCCAGACCAAAGCAAGAAUGCGCAGGGAACAGACCCUAGAGCAGAGCGAUGUGAAAGUUACAUCUACCUGAUUAUGGGCUAUUUUCCCAGGAUUCCCUAGAAGCCUAUUCAUUUGAUGAACAUGAUAGCUUUUCUCUAGUACGUGCAAUUAAAGUAACUUGUUUUUUGAAGACAGUAAGAUAGCAUGUGCUUAAAUAUUGUAAUGGUAUUACCUUCCUUAGGAUAUUCCAAACAUCAUUGAUUUGAAACCGCUCACACUAAAUUCACUAUGUCACACCAUGAGUGAGUAAUUUUCCAUACACGGACUCAAAGAAAAGUGUGAAUGGCAUGCCUGUUUGCCUGUUGCCAUAUCUGGUUGUGAAAAGCACGCUCUAUCAACAGUCCCAUGUCUACAGACUUGCUCAGCCGAACUCUGCAGUUCUCACAACAUCGUAGGUUUAACAGAGCUGGAGGAACCGUGUAAUUCAUCUUCCAAAAUGGAACAUGUAGGAGUUGAUAUGCUAAGCAGGUGAGCAAAUCAGGAUAUUGGAUAACAAUACUCAUUAUCACCAUGAUGUUUGAGGUGGGCUUCCAAAGGGCAGGGCAGGCUGUGGGAGCCUAGUCGACACUGGGGUUUUUCUAUCAAAUUAGCCAAAAAAAAAAAAAAAAUGAGGAGGGAGAUUGAAAAGAAGACAAAGGUCAAAAAAGAUACUAAGUUGAAAGGGAUCAGCAGGUGAAAGUAAGGGGUGGAGCCUUGUGAAGGAAAGGGAACUGGCACGGGUAUAUUGGGUGAGCUUGUAUGGACGACAGAUGGGAAACGGAUAAAAGCAGAUAGAGCCAGAGGAACCCUGGCGCCUGGGCUUCUUCAGGGCUCAGCUCUCCUCAACAGAGCCACCAGGCAGGGAAUGUCUUCACUCUGUGCCUGCCGGCUACUUGGUAACAGAUGACUUUGGAGAACGAUUCUAAACGUUUUUCGGAUAUUUUCAGUUUGAGUCUGGCGAGUCCAUGCGUUAAGAGAGCCACACUUUUGUGAGAAGGACCCACCGCUUUUUUCAGAAGGCCAUGGGUGAUGUUUCACUGUCUGUAAAUGUUGAAUUUUUUUUUUUACAAGCAUAGACAUGGUGGUGCAAGCCUGUAAUGCCAGCACCUGGGAGGCCAAGGCAGGAGGAUUACCACAAGUUUGAGGCCAGCUUGAUCUACAUAGUGAGUUCUAGUCCAUUUAGGGAUACAUGGUGAGAUCCUAUCUUGAAAGAAAAAAUGUUUUUGACAAAACCAAAUGAUAUUACAGCCACCUCUGUGCACUCAGUUGGAAAAAACAUUUAAAUAAAUGCACAGAGUAUGGAGGCCAGGGUAGGAAUGGAUAUUUGGGGUCAGCACACUUUUUUUUUUUCUCCUGUAAAGAUAGUGUUUCUUCUUUGUGGAGAACUGUCUGUUGUCAGUAUUCAGUUCUGGUGAAGAAGGUGCAAAAGAAGCUUCAGACAGAUAAGUAUUAAUUUUUGUUUUCAACUGUUAAGUGUGGAAACCACCUUUCCUUGUAGUGACCGGGUCGUAGCCUCGGUAUAGCUUGCCAACCUCUGCUAGAGAUGCACAGAUUGGAAGUGGCCAUGACAAUAUAAGGGGUAUCUAAAAACAAGAAAUGGGCUAUUUCAGAAAGGCUAGUAUAUACUUGCAUUUAACGUUAAGUUUCUUUUUUUUUUUUUUUUUUGGUUCUUUUUUUCCGGAGCUGGGGACUGAACCCAGGGCCUUGCGCUUCCUAGGCAAGCGCUCUACCACUGAGCCAAAUCUCCAACCCUAACGUUAAGUUUCUUAAAGCAGACUGUGCUUGCAAUGCAUCCGAGUGUUAAUUUUGGAUGAUUCGAUGUUACCCAAUAAUUUCUGAGUGGGCCACCUGGGAGUUGGCACACGAAGCAUAAAGGUUGGAGCCUGUUCUGUGGCCUGAAGCACAGUUCAUCUUAAGUUUCACAAUAUGAAGUUCUUCAGAGAUCAUUAGGGAGUGAUGUUGUAAAGGAGCGAUUUACAAACAGAUACAGAAAGUAAAGUGUACAUGGGUUAGAGAGCCCAGGUUCCUUCUGAAAAACUGAAAGAUGACUGAUGUGGAUAGGAAGGGAGGAGAUGCCUUAGCUGAAGGGGAUUUGCUAUCUGUCUGUCUGUCCUAUUCAGGCUCAGCUUUUCAUAGAGUUCCAGAGAGCCACAUUCACAGGACAAGGCAAGCCCUGUGCAUCUUAACUCUAGAGCAAGCUCUGCAGGGAAGUUCAGUCAGUCUACAGAAAUGUAUCUAUGUCUGUCAAACAACAGAAUUAGGCUUUGCUUUCGGUAAACACCAGUCUAAGGAACCGAGUCCCACUGCACCAAGGACUGACGUCAGAGUAAAAUGGAAGGUCCUAUCUUCUUGCUAAGGUUCAACUAAAAUCAUUGAGGCACAUAAUUGGCAAAAAUAGGAAAAUACACAACAUUUCAUAAAAUAUGUUAACCGUAAACAAAUUCUCUUCCCAUCCCUCCCCCCCCCCCCCGAGGUUUCCAAUGGCACCAGGUGGUGCAAAGUGGAGAUGUCACCAUUUCUGUCGCUUCCAGGUAGGUGUGUCCCAGCAAAAUCA